rnacentral:rRNA from 1 species
GUGAGGUAAUGGCUCACCAAGGCUUCGACGGGUAGCUGGUCUGAGAGGACGAUCAGCCACACUGGGACUGAGACACGGCCCAGACUCCUACGGGAGGCAGCAGUGGGGAAUCUUGCGCAAUGGGCGGAAGCCUGACGCAGCGACGCCGCGUGGGGGAUGAAGGCCUUAGGGUCGUAAACCCCUUUCAGCAGGGACGAAGAUGACGGUACCUGCAGAAGAAGCCCCGGCCAACUACGUGCCAGCAGCCGCGGUAAGACGUAGGGGGCGAGCGUUGUCCGGAAUUAUUGGGCGUAAAGGGCUCGUAGGCGGUUCGGUAAGUCGGAUGUGAAAACUCAGGGCUCAACCCUGAGACGCCAUCCGAUACUGCUGUGACUUGAGUUCGGUAGAGGAGUGUGGAAUUCCUGGUGUAGCGGUGAAAUGCGCAGAUAUCAGGAGGAACACCUACGGCGAAGGCAGCACUCUGGGCCGAAACUGACGCUGAGGAGCGAAAGCGUGGGUAGCAAACAGGAUUAGAUACCCUGGUAGUCCACGCCGUAAACGGUGGGCACUAGGUGUGGGGCCUUAUCAACGGGUUCCGUGCCGAAGCUAACGCAUUAAGUG